UUUCACUAUUAGGUGCCCAAGGAUAGGAACUUAUCUUAUUUAUCUCUUUCUCCAGCACCUAACACAAUCACUAAUGUGUGGCAGGCCCUGGAAUGGAUGGACCCUGUGAUGCUUCUGUAGGACUGAUGGACUACGGGCGGCACGGCAAACUUCACGGAGCCCCACGGAUCACACAAGCAGGAGACCCAGUGAAUCUGGACUGAGCUGUACCCAGUUCCAGGAAGCUUCAAACUCAACCCAGUGUUCCCAUCACCAGUCCAUUGGUUUGUGCCAUAUAUGCAAACCUUGUAAAAACACCAGACCACUGAAGCCAUGCAACAAAAAGCAGAUCGAUAGAUUUCAGCGGAAGAUUAUUUCCCAGAGUAUUUGUGCAGAUUUGGAUGGAGAACAAAUAAAGUGCAAUAGUGUGGUAAGAGCCCGUUCUCUCAACUCAGCAUCCUGUCUCUGACGAGGUCACCAGGAGAGGUGGGAAUGGAGGAGCAAUUCUGCAAGAGUGGUCGAUUCCCUUGUUGUUGUCUUCCUCAGAAUUUAGGAUUGUACUCUCAGAACCUUUAAAACUUGUUUUAUAGGUUGUUACACAUCUGUCCUUUCCAGAUGAGAAAUACUGAGCUCUCCUUGUUCAUUCUCUGUGCUGCAAGUUGCAUGUGAAAUAAAAACCUGCCUUUACAGAUUAAAAAUGAGAUC
rnacentral:lncRNA from 1 species